UGUGUGUUAAACAACACUGGGUUUGUGAGGACAAAAAUCAGCUGUCAGACAGUGACCAGCUUUGGGAACAAGGGCCUGAUCCCAAAUCCAGACAGGAAUGAAACCGAUUUUUUUUUUUAACUGUGAUUCACUGGCCUAAUUCUCCCCUGCCUGCGCCCUGUUUUGGUCAAAAUGCUAGCAAAUCGGGACUCUCCCCUCACCGAGACAGCUGCUGACGUUUGGCACUCCUGGGUCCUCCCUUUGCACGAAUCAACCAUAACUCUGACCCAGACGACAUACUCAUGAACAUUUUCGCCUUAUCUACUGCUAAUAGCGCUAUAUUUUUGAGUUUGUACAGUACUUCUGGUGAAUAAUAUUGUCUCCGUCAGCUUGUGCAGCAUAAACAAAAAGAUCUGAUGAAUAAUGAGCACCAGAGAAUAGAUAGCUCUGCAAAGCAAGUUUGCACGGGUCAGCCACACAGAAAGCAGAUCUCCACUCUGUGCAAUAAGCUGGGUAAAAGGAGAAACCUGAUUGGUCAGCUAAAGUUCUGAACCACGAAAGCGUCAAAACGGCAAUAAUUCAAAGUCGAAACUCCCCGGACAAGGUGGUAGCCAACAACACUGGGUUUAUAGACGUUGGCGUGGACUUUUGUUACUCCUCACUUCAAGGGCUUUGCUUGCAGUUCUCUUAUGGGAAAAGAUAUAUGCUUAUGGCACCCAUUAAAAUAAAAGAAAUAGAUUUAAUUUGCAAGGGUGGGGUUACACUUAUCCAGGUGUCUCUGGACAUUAAAGGCAAGAAGGAACCCUGCUCUGACAUUUCACCAGAGGCGCU